ensembl:miRNA
UCAUCUGGGUAUCUCACUAAAAAUGCAUAUUCUGAUUCAGUAGGUCUGAGAUGCUGCAUUUCUAACAAGUUCCCAGAUGAUGCCA